rnacentral:rRNA from 1 species
AGUGAACGCUGGCGGUAGGCCUAACACAUGCAAGUCGAACGGCAGCACAGUAAGAGCUUGCUCUUACGGGUGGCGAGUGGCGGACGGGUGAGGAAUACAUCGGAAUCUACUUUUUCGUGGGGGAUAACGUAGGGAAACUUACGCUAAUACCGCAUACGACCUACGGGUGAAAGCAGGGGAUCUUCGGACCUUGCGCGAUUGAAUGAGCCGAUGUCGGAUUAGCUAGUUGGCGGGGUAAAGGCCCACCAAGGCGACGAUCCGUAGCCGGACUGAGAGGAUGAUCAGCCACACUGGAACUGAGACACGGUCCAGACUCCUACGGGAGGCAGCAGUGGGGAAUAUUGGACAAUGGGCGCAAGCCUGAUCCAGCCAUACCGCGUGGGUGAAGAAGGACUUCGGGUUGUAGAGCCCUUUUGUUGGGAAAGAAAAGCAGCAGGUUAAUACCCCGCUGUUCUGACGGUACCCAAAGAAUAAGCACCGGCUAACUUCGUG